UCCUGGUUAGCUCAGUUGGUAAAACGCUCCACUGGAAAUGGAGGUCCCUGGUUGGAGACCAGGAACAGGCG
rnacentral:tRNA from 1 species